GCGUUGUUCGGAAUUACUGGGCGUAAAGCGUGCGCAGGCGGUCUUCCAAGUCAGUGGUGAAAGCCCGGAGCUCAACUCCGGAACUGCCAUUGAAACUGUGAGGCUUGAGGACGAGAGAGGUGAGUGGAAUUCCCAGUGUAGAGGUGAAAUUCGUAGAUAUUGGGAAGAACACCGGUGGCGAAGGCGGCUCACUGGCUCGUUUCUGACGCUCAUGCACGACAGCGUG
rnacentral:rRNA from 1 species